rnacentral:rRNA from 1 species
CGCCUACAUGAAGUCGGAAUCGCUAGUAAUCGCGGAUCAGCAUGUCGCGGUGAAUACGUUCCCGGGUCUUGUACACACCGCCCGUCACACCAUGGGAGCGGGUUCUGCCAGAAGUAGUUAGCUUAAUCGCAAGGAGGGCGAUUACCACGGCAGGGUUCGUGACUGGGGUGAAGUCGUAACAAGGUAGCCGUAGGGGAACCUGCG